rnacentral:rRNA from 1 species
UUGAGUGAGGACAGGGAUAAGGUGAAGUGGACACUGACUAAAAAAGGGGUUUAUACUGUAAAAUCAUUUUAUAGACACUUAAUAGAAAAUGGGAUCAAAUAUCCACACUUAUACAUGUGGAAAAUCAAAAUGCCACCUAGAGUCAAGGUCUUUAUGUGGUUGGCUUUUAGAAACAGCAUUCUUACCAAAGAUAAUCUAUUAUGUAGAGGAUGGAAAGGAGAUGAGAAAUGUCCAUUUUGUGGGCGUGAAGAAAGCAUAAAUCAUCUCUUCUUAUCCUGCUCUGUAGCUAGGUUACUGUGGAAUAUUUUAAAAUGUGCAUUCAACUUAUCUGACAUUCCAGAUGAUCUUGAACUGGUGAUGAGAACCUGGGCCAAGACUUUUGGAAAUGAAGAGAGGGGAUUAGUUAUGAUAGGAAUUUCUGCUAUCUGUUGGACAAUUUGGAAAUUGAGGAAUAGUGUGGUUUUUUAUAAUAACAGGGUAAAUGAUCCCUGCAUACCUGUUAAUCUACUGCUUAAAAAUUUACAUGAUUGA